rnacentral:lncRNA from 1 species
AUAAAAGAAAAAGCAUAUAAUAUCAUGUGACAAUCUCUUUACCUGAUAGGAACACAUGUUUAAAAUUAUGCAUGUUUCAGUGGCAUUGCUUAGAAUUCAGGGAUCCAAGCAAAUUACAAAGGCUAUCCUUAAAGCUUGCAUAAACAAUACAAUAGAGAAAGACUAAAUGAAACACAAAUUCGACUCGCUCUAAAUAUCCUUGCACUAGCUAUGAUGGAUGACUCUUCUUAGAAAAAAACCUAGGCAUCGUGUCUUUGUUGCUAGCAUAAGCUCUAACAAAGAACCUUGAGACAUUUUCUGAAGCUAUUCUUAAACCUUGCUGGAAUGGUACUUGGGAUCUUCUUUCCAUUCCUUGAGGAAAACAAAUAGGCCUGACCCAAUUAGUAUCUAAUCUGAGCAACCAAGCUGCAACUGUUCAGCCCAACAUUAGAUUUCCCAGUGUUUACAUUAGAUUUCCAAGCUUACCCAUAAAAAAAAGCUCUCUCCCUCUGUGUAAGUGUGUCGUUCGAUCAUGUCAGACCAUACAUCGCAUGCUAAUAUGUCCAUCAAAAGUAGCAUAGAUGCAGGAUAACAGAUUUGAAACAUGAAAAGCAAGUCAACACAAGUUUCAAAUAAAUUAUCAAAGAAAAUUUGAACUUUUGAACAAUGCUGCAUGUCAUAAUUUCAGUACCAAGCAUAACAACCAUGAGUUGGAAAAUAUCAUGUGUCCUUCCCAUAAAAGUAUUUAGUACACAUAUUUCAAAUUAAACAAACUUCUCCCAUAAAGAAUAUAAAUUAUGGGAAUCGGAUGUAUUUUACUCUUGACCAAUUUGAUUGCAUCCAAAUAUUUGUCUGCCAUUAAUUUAGACUACUGAUAUAAAACCAAGAAAGUACAGAAUAUAAAAUUUAAACAAGCUUCUUUCAUAAAGAAUAUAAAAUAUGGGAAUCGGAUGUAUUUCACUCGUGCCCAUUCUGAUUGCAUCCAAAUAUUUGUCGGUCAUUAAUUCAAACUAACGAUAUAAAACCAAUAAAGUUAAGAGCAUGUCAUAGAAGUUGUCACUUCAGCAGAGAAAAAAUAUCAAAGCAUCAAAGAGAAUCCACUUCACACAUAUUAACAAUCCCGUGUAAUGCACGAUGACUGAUAAUUAGAUCACAGUCACAAUAGUCACAAAUAAGGGCAAUGUAACUACAAGAUUUCCUUUUUGGAUAGAAGAAACACAAAUAGUUGGGAAUAGGGAUGAAUCUAAGGUCCCCUAAUAGGAAGUAUGGGUCAGAACUUUGCAGCACACAAUGAAAAUCUGGGAUAGUCUGCAUAGCAGUACAAGUUCAGUCAAUAAUUUAGGCUUCAUAUGCCAUGUCAUAGUUUCAUGCUUCUUACCCUAUUCACCCCGCACUUGACUAAGAACAGUACAACAUGAUGGAGAGCUUCAGGACAACUUUUCUUACAUAUUGUAAAAGAUGGACCAAGAGUGGCAGUUGCAAUUCCAGACCAUUCAUAUGACCCCAAGGCAAACAGCAGUGCAUUGACCACCAACACAUUCUCGACAUAUAACAAAAAUAAUGGAUUUUAAGCUCUUCUCAGAUAUAGCCUUUUCUAUAGGGUAAUGGAUGCUGUACAGAAAACCGCUUCGUUUUCUGAUCUUAACAGAUCUUCCAAGCCUCCACACUGGCAGAUAAGCCAUGAUGUGCAACAAUAAGGCACGACUAAAUAAAGGUCAUACUCUCAGAAAAACUGCAGAGAAUGCAGCCUAGUAAAUCUUUAAGUUCCGCUUAGGCAAUUGGUAUCCAAACCCAGGUUUUUCCUUUCUGCCUUGUGUCUUUGCUAUUCCAGGCCAAAACAUGGGUAGAAUGUUAAAAAGGAAAAACCACAUCCGCACUGUUAUAUUAUUCCAUCAUAUGGCAGUAUUCACUAAGAGGUUCCGCCUGCCCCUUUUUUAUCCAACUUAACCGAACCGAAUAUCAGUUUUAUUUUUUUUUAUAUUUUUUGAAGUUUAGGACUAUAAGAUGGGGGGUUCCCAUCUUGGAGUAAGUUCGAUGUUUCAAACAUCGAACCGUCCUCUAAGUUGGGUAUUGUUAGGCUUUUUAGGUUGGUCCGAUGUUUGAAACAUCAGAUCGCCUUAAACCUUCAAAAAUGAGAUUAAAAUGCGGUCCCAUGUUAUAAACAUAGGACCGCCUUUAAAUGUCCUAAAUAUAAGGUUCGGACCGCCUUUAAACCAUGUUUUUGGAAGAAAUAUUCAAACCUUGUUAAUACAUAUUUUUGAAGGUUUAGAUUGCCAGAUAAAUGCGAUGAUAGCACAUGGUGGGGGACACUAUAAAGAAGAAAACAUUUUUAGAAAAUGACAUGUCGCUUAAACUUUUCCUUACAAAUGUAAGCCUCAAGUGAAUUGUGCGGCUUAUAUUUGGAAGUUUUCAAAUACAUGUUAACAAGGUUUAAACCUUGCUAUCCUAUUUCUUUAAACCUUCAAAGUACCAUUUUUUUUAAACCUUCCAAAAAUGAGGUUUAAAGACAGUCCGAUGUUUGAAACAUCAAGCCACAUUUUGAACCUCAUAUUUGAACAUUUAAAGGUCGUCCGAUGCUUAUAACAUCUGACGGCAUUUUUUAAGGUUUAAGGCAUUCAAAACACUAAUUUUUUUAAUGUUUAAAGGCUGUCCGAUGUUUAUAACAUCCGACCUCAUUUUUUUAGGUUUAAGGCGGUCCAAUGUUUCAAACAUCAGACCAACCUAGAAAAUGAAACAAUAUUGCAACUUAUAGGGCAGUCCAAUGUUUGGAACAUCAAACCUACCCCAAAAUGGCCCCCUACCUUACCAGUCAGUCCUAAACUUUAAAAGAAAUAAAAAAUAAAAUUAAUAUUCAGUCUGAUGUUUGAAACAUCUGACAGGGGGGGGCAAAGUUGGGAAACAAAAGAAAAAAAACACAGGCAAGACCUCCGCAUAAAUACUACAUAUUUUUGGACAUUUCUGUUAUAAUAGAAAAAUAUAAUGGUAAGGACAUAAUUUUUCAUACAAAAGUAUACUAUGCUUGCUCAAUUUCCACUUACAUAGAUGGACAUUUAUAGCAGAAACAUAGGCACAACUGGCAAUCCCCAAAUAUUAUAUUUCUAUUUAUACAUAUUAUUUAAUACUUUAUCCAUCCUUGAAGUAUCUAGUACAGGUAUCAGUGUUCGAUCAUGUUGAUGCAUGUAUUUUAGUAGAAAAAAAGCAUUCGAGUAUCUUGGCCUAAACGCCUCAGAGUGCUACAAAUCAACACUAUAUCAAACACAUAUUUAAGAAUACUGAAACUUCAAACAAAUUUUAAAUGCCCCUAUGUAGGUGCAAUAGUUAAGAGAACUCACAAUAACAUAUUGUGAUACAAAGAAUUUGGGACACAUACAAUGCAUAGGCGUACCAAGAUUCAAGAGAAAUUGAAAACCGGUUGCCCCAGCACAAAAUGCAAAAGCCAAAGGAACGAACAGGUGUCAUCAUCUACUUGCAUAAGCUAGAAAAGCUCAAAAAUUUUGUAAUGCUUUGAAUAAGCCCAGGGACUUUUCAUGCCCAGAAAGAAACCAACAUGGGUUGCCAACCAUCAAGACAUAGCUACCAUGUACUCAUUCUAGUAAUGGGACAGCAACUAAUACUGCUGAUUGUUCGCAAGGGUGUGAAAAGUUAAACGUGCCUUUUUGUAGAAAAUGUAUAUUGAUGCAGCUUUUAGAAAAAGAUUGUUUCAGGUUCCCAGGCAACAGGGAAAUUUCUAUUAAUAUGAUCCUAGAAAUGAGACCGUAUACAAAAUUCAAAAAUAAAAUAAAUAAAAUAUUAGAAAUGUUACAUAUAUUAUCUGAUAAUAAUAUGAUAUGGAUUUUUACAAGAUAGCAAACACGCAUCAUUUUUACAAGAAAAUUUGCAAAAUAUUAGUAGAAUUGCAACCAAACUGCACAAUAUUGAUAUAAUUCGAUGGAAAAUUUGCACAAAUCUGGUAAAAACUUUUGAGAACAUUCCUAAAAAGUUUUGUAUCCUUUUUAAGUCCUAGUAUGGAGGGGGUCUUACCAGAAAAAGGGUUUUAGGUAACAUAAUAGGGAUGGGCAUGGGCAAGCCUGGCCCGAUUCAGGCCUAGUCAUCAGGCCUUGACUAGGAUACCAGCACAAUUGGUGACCGAGCUGGGCUUGGCUUGACAACCCCUUUGUGGCACAGCUGCUUGAUUAAAGAAAAAAAAUCUAACAAAAUGGUGAGGUUCGAUCUUGAGUAAAAGUGAGAAGAUUAUAACACAAUAACAAGUCAAGCCAUCAUUGCUUUGUGUUUAAUGUCUAAAUUUAAAUAAAUAUAUCAUCUUAUUACACCAAGUACUGUUAUCCAGAGAUAAAGUUAACAAGCUGAUGUUCAUUAGGUCCAAGAUUCUUAGCCAUGUACAAACGAGCCCCACUACAGGGACUUCAAUAAGCAGCAUAUUCAAUUGAUACCCAAUUAUCUCAAAUGGAGAUUGAUUCCAUGGUGGGAUUUAUACGGCUGAAAUCAAUGCAAUUGAUGGAAUCCAAUAAGAGCCAUGCAAUGAAGAGAAAGAAACUUUAUUCUAAAAAACCAGAGAACCCAACUUCAAAACCUCUCCUUGCUUGUUGUCAUGAAACACUUCCGAGAGUAGGAUUAGGGUAGAUUUUCUAGGCAUUUUAAUUAAGAAAGAAACAACAGAUUGUCAGAAUGGAGCCAUUGUUUGAGAGGAGUGGAACCUGGGCUCUAGUUUUGUUGGUUUGAUGAAUGAGAAGAAGGAAGUUUUCUAUGGGGGACUCCAUGGCCAGAGUUCCAAGUGAUAGCUAUGUAAUUCUCUUUACAUUGAGAUUGCAUUUUCUGAGAAGAAUAAAUCAAGUCUAAUGGGUUUUUUCACCUUUUUGAAGGUUUUGGUUAUGGAGAGAAGGGUAAUUAUGGGAGACAUGGAAAGGAGGUUGCUGCAAUUGCAGAAUCUGCCAUCUUUAAUACUAGAGAAAGAGAGAGAGAGAGAGAGAGAGAGAUCAAAGGCCAAACAAAUUGGAGAGAAUGAAUAACUGGGAUGCAAUAAAAGAUCAAUGGCCCUGUUAUUUUUUAAAACCAACUUCAAAACCUCAAACCUACCAAUACUGGGUGGUUUCUCUCUUCCGGAUUCCCAUUAUUGGGUUCUUAUUAACAUUAAAAUUCUAGAAAGAGGGGAGAGAGAAAAUAUGGAAAGGGGGGUUCAGCUAACAAUAGUUCCACAUCGGAGAGAAUCUAGGAUUUAUGGGCUCAAGUGCUACAAAGAGGGCUCCUGAGAUGUCAAUUGCAAUCAAACUUAUAACUAGAUUAGCUUUGUCAGACUGGACCUGGGCCUCUCAAGACUCAUUCGAGCAAGGUUCAGGCCUGGCCCAAUAAGGAAUUGGUACUGGGUCAGGCCCAACCCUAUAAAAUAUUUCUCAAACUUGAGCUAUCAAACAAAUUGUAAAAGACUCUCGAAGCCUUGUUAUAGCUAAAAUGUGUCUAUCCAUUCAAUGAUGAAGACCAUUCCCAACUCGUUAGUAAAGUUAAAAUCACCUAUCAAUCAAAGGAAUAGAAAACAGUAUAAAUUUUCAAAUAUUUCUCCCACAAAAUUUUCUUUUCUUUUCUUUUUUUUUUUAUUUCUUUUUCUUUGGAUUUGGGGGCGGGGGGUGGACAGAGGGGAGGGGGGUUAAAUUUUUACUUGGGUCCUGGUCAGAAUAGAACUCUAGACAUCAUAUGGUGGAUGCCACCCUGACCACCUCUCCCUAAAGCCCGUUCACCUCCCAAGACAUUGUCCUAAUAAAUAGUAUAUUACCACAGAAUUUCGAAGGCGAACUUGUCAUCCUGGCAACUACCAAGGCAAACAACAGCAGGAAAGGCAUCCCUAGAAAUUGCUAAAGCAGCAAAGUAGGCUAGUCCCAAGUUGCUUGUGCUAAUAAUGACCUAAAAACCUCUACAAUACAAAAUAGAGGUCAUAAUGACAUGGCAACAAUAGCAUAUGACAGUAUAUCAUUUCUUGCAUUAAAUUUAAUCUUUCGCAGGAAUGAAGUAUACACAAUAUGCAAAUAAUGUUAGUACAUACUGAACUACUUAUUAAAGAAAAGGCAGAUUACAUGUUCUCAUUGACAACACCUCUAGUAUAACAUACCCAUAAACAUGGAUCAAUCCAAUAAAUACAGAAGAAAUUUAAUGGUGAGAAACAUGAUACAAAUAACUGACCUUAUUAGAACAAUUAGCAUGAGAUAUGCACUUGGAUGAUUAUCCAAAAAUCAGAGUCCCCUAGAUGAUCCACUAGGCCAUAUCCAAUAGAAAAUUGUCUCUAAUGGCACUCCUAGUCCUGCUCUUGCAAGAGCUUCUUUAGGAGCCUCUGUGAAUACAAAUGGACUUACUCAAAUGUCCAUACAAAAAGCUGUCAAAGGUUCAAGGACAACACUUUAAUAUGAACACAAAAUUUUCGAUUAAAAUGUUCAGUUUUUUGGCAAAAGAAUAUCCUUUUCAUAAAGCAAAUUUUUCUCAAAAGGGCCUUCUUUCCAAUGGAGUCAAAUUUUCCUUUAAAGCAGUCUCCAACUCGAGAAUGACAAAAGGGAAUCGUCAAUUGGCAAGCCAGUAUAGAUACUAUGCCACAGGAUGGAUACUUAUUUGUGGAUAAUCAUCACAUGGGUGAGGUAAAAAACUGACUUCUUCAUAAGUCAGUUCAAACGUUUAUUUCACACUAUUUUCAUGAUUUAAAUUACCAACUCCAAACCAUAAAGAAAUGCGGGAAACAAGAACGUCAACAACUGUACACAAUAAUUUUAAAUCCAAUUCAAUGUAUUGCAGUAUCAUAAUGAUCUAUUGAUCUGACAAUGAUCCAAUUCAAUUUAUAACAGCCACUGAUACUUAAACAAUAGUUGUUGGGAUCGGGAGGGGACCAUGAAAGGUUAGAAGAUUUCGUGGUUAGGAGCAUUGUCCAUGCAUUGCAUAUGUUAGGGAUCGAGAUCGCUAAAUGUUUGGAUCUCGAUUGCAACCCCAAUGCGAACCUUUUGGGUUCUUGAUCCUAACCUUUUGGAGAUCUUUCUGCAAACUUUGAAAAGUACAUAUAGUAUAGAAAUAUACAUGCUCUUAAUGCAGAGAUCUCUUUAUUUAUAGCCAGCAAACAAUGCAACUAUAUUAAAAGUAUAAUUGCAAUCUAGCAUGGAAAUCAUCAUUUUGGUUAUUAUCUUGGUCUUUAGGUGGAGAUCGAGAUCCCUAACAGUGGCCAUUGAGAUCCAUAACAGGAGGGAUCAAGAUCCUGAAUUUAAAAAUCGAGAUCCUUUGAAGAUCUCAUUCAUGAAAAGCGGAAGCGAGAUUCCGAAGCGGGAUCACCAUCUAGAAUGGAGAUCACAGCAACUAUGGCUCAAAUCAUUUCUUAUUGUUUCCACGAGUCAACUUGAUCUAUUCUUUCCAUCUGAAAGAGCCCAUUAAUGCUGAAAAGAAUUCAACCCCCAAUAGAAAAAUCCAAUCAUAGACCUAGCGCAGUAAGUAUUUAGUCAGCACUAUGAUCAACCUCAUGUUAACGGUAAUAAAACAAUAUUUGAUAACUAUUGUAGCACCUGCUCCUUUGACCAUCUUAC